rnacentral:lncRNA from 1 species
AAAACUUAUUUUUUGUUUGAAUAGAUUUCUCGUGUGUUCAGAUUAGUCUUUUCCCAGUUAGUUUGUUGUAUGCACGUUCUUAGACAUUUGCCACUGAUGUUUAAAAAUUGUUUAGCUGACCACACAGUCUUUGGAGACUACUAAGAAAGAAGUUUAUAUUGUGAGGAGGUGACAACAGGCAGCCCAAAGAUGGGAGAAUAUGUUUGGAUGAAUGAUGACAAAAACUCAACGCCCAGGAACGAGUUAUCCCAACCAUCAGAAAUCCAGCAUGAGGUUUUUCAUUUGUUGCAAGCCUACUCAGACUCCAAACACGGAACGAAUUCAGACUUCCAGCACGAGCUGACUGACAUCACUGUUUGUACCAAAGCCAAACUCUGGCUGGCCAAGAGG